rnacentral:rRNA from 1 species
AUGUCCACUAGCUUUGGCUCCUACUUUGCUUUGGAAGAACAUGCUAGAGAUGUUGCUCUGGGGAUGGAUGAAACCCCUAUAGGGGAAUGGAAAAGAGUGGCGUGCGCGAUUGGGCCUGUUGUGCGUCCUCACAAAAAAAAAUCUCGCCGGUCCACACGCUCUCCCCCGGAAACGCUUCUUCUCGUCUUCCCCAGUUCUGCCGCCGCCGCCGCCUACCUCUGCCCCAACCUUGCCACCUCCUCUGCCCGUCUACCGUCCUUCCGUCACACCCCGAGGCCCUCAUCACCUCUUCCCACCCGCUCAUCUGCUUUGUGCCGUCGGCCUCCCUCUCGUCCGCUAACCGGCCAUCGCGACGGGGAGCUAGAUCUGCGCCGACACGCCUCAUCAUCGCCUUCGUCUUCUGCUGUGUGCCUACACAUCGGCUAUAGGGACAAGGACCUCGCCGGCUCGCGCAUAAUAGGUCAACGGCAAGCAGUGGAGGUGCAGCAGCGGUCGACGAUGGUGGACCAGAUCAGCGCGUCAUGGGGGUGGACUCCAAGGCCGUCACGUGCAGAGAAGAGAGAGGCCGGCACGGCGGCCGGGCGCGGUCUGGAGAACCGGUGGCCGGUAGUGCGCGAUAUGGGCGUGCGCGACCUGCGUGAGUUGGAGGCGAGGGUCAUAUAUGGAGGACUGGAUUUGAAUGGAAAGAAUUGGAAGGAGUUUUUUUUUCCGGAUGUUCCUGAGGCACUAAAGAACUUGCAUUCUCACCGAAUGAAGGAGAUCAAGAAGUUGAUAGUUGAGCUGGACUACUUGAGGAAGCGGCUUCAGGAGCUCAAACCCAACAACAACUGUGGCUUCGGAAAAGAUUGUUUCCUGAAGAACUUGCCUUUGGAAUUAAAGAAGAUUGCUUUGACACUGACCAGAGACAUACGAAGGAAUCUUCUUUCUGUAAGCUCGUGGUUUCUUCAAGGACUUGAACGUUACCAGAGCUUCCAGCCUUCCAGCCUUAAUGAGGGCCACAAGGCUAGGACGGUUUGCCAGAGCAACAUAUCCCCUCCCUGCUACAAAGGAUUGAUUCUUUUAACCAGGUUUGGAAUUGAAGCAGGGCAGCGCGUCCGGCUACCCUACGAGAAGAAGUGCGUGCAGCUGAGGACCCAGGAUGCCAACGAUGUGGAGCCGUUCACCAUUGAGGGGACCAGGGCUGCCAUCAGGGACCUCCAGACCAAGGUCAACAUCUCUGCCGUCUUCAUCGACGGCGUGUCCCGAAGUGUCAUUGCCGUCCGUAAUGACUCAUCUAAAUAUUCUCAAGAAUUGAAUCCGCCGUCGGCGGGGCACCCACCGUCCGCCCACCCCGCAUCGCCGCCGCCAGAGGGCCGGCCGGCGAAGCCGCGCUGGGCCUUGGGAUGGCGGGGCCGUUUCUCCUUCCUCGAGCCCCAAUCCCCCGCCCUCUGCCACCUGCCUAGAUCUGGUUUGGCGGCUCCGGCAAACUCCACCGGCGACUGCAGCGGCCUCCCCCGGCUUCCCCUGCUCGCUGGCGGUGCGGAUGGCUUGCCGCGGCCGCGGCUCCCGUUCGCCCCAGACGCGAUUUGGGUGCUCCUCCCAGCAGGUGACGGUGCUUUUCGGCCAGCCGACCAUGGCGGCCGGGCGUGCCCUACUUGCUGCGGCUACCCCCUCCCCCGACCCACCCCUUCCCCUACUCGAGCUUCGGACCGGCCUCUUUGGGAGGCGGCCAUGGAGCCGGCUUGUCCUGCCGACAGUGCCUGUUUCUUGCAGCUCGCCGAUCAGGAGUGUGGCUGCGCGCGAGAUCCCUUCAACACCACCGCCACCCACCACCACCCCGCAGGGGCGGCUUCUGCCCGGCGGCCAUGGACCUGCGUCCCUUUCCUGUGUUCAUGGUUGGCCGGCGCGCCCUCAGACCCAGCAAGCCCUAGGAGCUGCGCUAUUUCCGGCUCAUUUGGCUCACUAGCUCCUCGGUGUCUCCGCUCCACCACCACCCUACCGGUUACUUGGUUGGCCGUCCAUCCCGGUGCAUCUUCGUCUCCGACAUUGCUCCAGGAGCUGCGUCCCCUUCCAGCUCCUAGGUCCGCCGGCGCCCUGCUGCUCUGGUUCUGGGUGGCCCAGGUCUGCGCUCCCUUCCAGAUCCUGUCUCGUCCGGGGAUAUGGCUACUGUCCCAUACCCGCCGCCUCUCAUUUCGCAUAGCCACGCAACUUUGCCCUCCUUCGGAGUUCGCACGUCCAGCGGCGCCCGAUGCCUCCUACGGCGUUGUGCGUGGCUCACCUUCCUGUAGUCGCAACUCCAGCAAAUGCGCGACGACCUCCUCUCUGAUUCGUGUUCCGACGUCUUGGGAUUGCUCGGAAUUGGCCAGGGAGAAAUCACUGCAUCUUAUGCUGGUAGCGGCGGCACCCGUGGGUGUCGUACCCUUCUUGGAGGCGCUGCCAUGGUCGUUUUUCUGUGCCCCUCUUCGAGCAUCAGAGGAAACCCUAGGUUAG